rnacentral:rRNA from 1 species
CGGGGGGGGGGGCAUUAAACAUGCAAGUCGUACGAUGGAUAAACCCUGCUUGCUGGGUGGAUUAGUGGCGAACGGGUGAGUAACACGUGGGUGAUCUGCCCUGCACUCUGGGAUAAGCCUGGGAAACUGGGUCUAAUACCGGAUAUGACCUCGGGAUGCAUGUUCUGGGGUGGAAAGUUUUUCGGUGCAGGAUGAGCCCGCGGCCUAUCAGCUUGUUGGUGGGGUAAUGGCCUACCAAGGCGACGACGGGUAGCCGGCCUGAGAGGGCGACCGGCCACACUGGGACUGAGACACGGCCCAGACUCCUACGGGAGGCAGCAGUGGGGAAUAUUGCACAAUGGGCGCAAGCCUGAUGCAGCGACGCCGCGUGAGGGAUGACGGCCUUCGGGUUGUAAACCUCUUUCACCCAUGACGAAGCGCAAGUGACGGUAGUGGGAGAAGAAGCACCGGCCAACUACGUGCCAGCAGCCGCGGUAAUACGUAGGGUGCGAGCGUUGUCCGGAAUUACUGGGCGUAAAGAGCUCGUAGGCGGUUUGUCGCGUCGUCUGUGAAAUCCCGCAGCUCAACUGCGGGCUUGCAGGCGAUACGGGCAGACUCGAGUACUGCAGGGGAGACUGGAAUUCCUGGUGUAGCGGUGAAAUGCGCAGAUAUCAGGAGGAACACCGGUGGCGAAGGCGGGUCUCUGGGCAGUAACUGACGCUGAGGAGCGAAAGCGUGGGUAGCGAACAGGAUUAGAUACCCUGGUAGUCCACGCCGUAAACGGUGGGCGCUAGGUGUGGGUUUCCUUCCACGGGAUCCGUGCCGUAGCCAACGCAUUAAGCGCCCCGCCUGGGGAGUACGGCCGCAAGGCUAAAACUCAAAGGAAUUGACGGGGGCCCGCACAAGCGGCGGAGCAUGUGGAUUAAUUCGAUGCAACGCGAAGAACCUUACCUGGGUUUGACAUGUACCGGACGACUGCAGAGAUGUGGUUUCUCUUGUGGCCGGUAGACAGGUGGUGCAUGGCUGUCGUCAGCCUCGUGUCGUGAGAAUUGUUGGGUUAAGUCCCGCAACGAGCGCAACCUUGUCCUGUUGUUGCCAGCACGUGAUGUGGGACUCGCAGGAAACUGCCGGGUCACUCGGAGAGGUGGACGACGUCAGGUCAUCAUGCCUAAUGUUCAGCCUCACACAUGCUUACAUGGUCGGUACAGAGCUGCAAUCCGGUGAGUGAGCAUCCUAGCGAUUCAGUUCGGAAUCGGCUCUUGCAAUCGGAACCUCGUUGAGUCG